GAAUCGCGAUAGGAAUUGCGAAUUGCAGAAUUCAGUGAAUCAUCGUAACUUUGAACGCAAACUGCGCUUGGGGGCUGACCCCGAGCAUGCCUCUUUGAGUGUCGGUCACUUUGUCUUGUUGAUUUUCCACAGUCGAUGGGGAUUUGAGCGUUUUGUACGGAUCGCUCCAAGUGUCGGGUUCCGUGCCUCUGUGGCGCCGAUAGUCUAUGCGAGUGGAGCUGAUUCAGAUUCACGAGCGACAGUCGUUGUCAUAAGAGGUGCAUUUCGAGCCCACUCUGUCUGCUAGUCAGACACACUCUUGACCAACGACCUCAAAUGAGGUAAGACCACCCGCUGAACUUAA
rnacentral:misc_RNA from 1 species